UUUUUUUUUUUUUGCUUUUUAGGGCCGCACCCAUGACAUAUGGACGUUCCCAGGCUAGGGGUCUGAUCAGAGCUGUAGCCGCCUGCCUAUGCCACAGCCACAGCAACACGGGAUCUGAGCUGCUUCUGCGACCUACAUCACAGCUCAUGGCAACGCCAGAUCCUUAACCCACUGAGUGAGGCCAGGGAUCAAACCCACAACCUCAUGGUUCCUAGUCAGAUUCUUUAACCACUGAGUCACGACAGGAACUCCCUGGAGUCAGUUCUUAUGUUCAGUUCAGAAACUCUGGGUCCUAGCUAAAGCCUUUAUUUUAGCAGGCACUCACCCUCUUUAGGCUUAACAGAGAGGUGCUGGACUACUUUUGUGAGCCGGGGUUCCACUGGCAGUUUCAUUUUCAGAGUCUUUGGUGAUAUUCUUUUAUUCUGCUUGGUUUUUCUGGGGUUCCUGGGUCUCCCACCGGCCUCUGCUCAGGUGGCCAAGAGGGUGCAAGGAGUCUCCCUGGGCCUGGAUGCCAUGAGUCUCUGGAUGGGGAGGGAAGUGUCAGACCUGCUGUGGUUGCGUGUUGUGGCAGGAUCCCUCUGGCAUAUUCCACCUGCUCACCCUGUGUGCCCCUUGUGGGGAAAGAGGGUGCUUCCCCUGUGUGUUUAUUGUCAGUGGGGCUCCCCAUCAAUCCCCCUGGCCAGCGGUGUUGGGCUCACCUGAUGUUGGCAGAGGGGCUCCCGUACCCUUGCUUACCUGGGCUGCCUUCUGUUGUCAGGUUGCGGGGCGGGAAACAGUAGGUCCAGGUUGUCUCCUUUGGUUGGGUGGGGGGAUCAUGAGAUGCCUUGCCGCUGGGUUGUUCUCCAGUCUUGGGCUUCCAAACCAGUUGAUCUUCGUCUUAUCUGUCAGAGCACCCCUUCGGUUGCCCCUUACUUUAUAGUCAUGCUCUCCAGGGAGAAGCAGGGGGAAGUGAAUCUAUGUCAACUUGGCUGACCGGAAGUCUGGGAAGCACAUUUUUAGGGCUAUUGACUUGCAUUGUCAAACUGUUUUCUUGCAAGGCUAGCUAGCUGUUGCUUUGCUAGAGGAGAAAAAAAAAUUCCGUUAUGGGAGAAGGGUGGGGGUCACUAAAAGGAGGAGGCAGGUGGGUAGAAAUCUGUGUCCUGGUGUCCCCACAAAUCUUGAGGAAGGUGGGGUUAGUUAGGAUAAAGGGGAAAUCAGCAGCACUGGAGAAGAAUCACACCAGGAAGUAAAACCCCACAGCUUAAGUGAGGCAUAUAGUGUUUCCUGACGUUCCCCACACACCGGUCAGGUUGGAGACCUGCUGCUGUGUAGUAACUGUCUUGUAUGUAUUUCAGUAUUUUAAUAAUCAUCGAGAUUUAUAUAGCAGAUUGUACAUCCCAAAUGGCCAUAACGAGAUCACCAUCCAACAUGUUCUUCUUAAUGAGGUGACUUUGACACUCCUCCCAUUGAGAAGUGGGGUCUGAGUUCCCUUUCCUUUAAUCUGGGGGAAGGGGUUAACUCUGGAGUAAGUCAGGGGAUGUGACUUCCAAGAUUAGGUCAUAAAAUGUGACAGAGCUUCUACCCAGUUCUCUUGGGACAUUCCCUUUAGGAACCCAGCCACCAUCCUGUCAGGAAGCCAAGGAGCCAUAGAGAAAGUCUACACAUAGCUAUUCUGGCUGUUAUGGAUUGAAUAUUUGUGACCUCAUAAGUUGAAGCCCUAACCCCUGAGCUGAUGGUAUCUGGAGGCGGGGUGUGGGGGUGGGGUGGGGGGGUGGGGGGAGUCCUUGGGGAGGUAAUUAGAUUUAGAUGAAGUCAUGAGAGUGGAGUCCCCAUGAAAGGAUUAAUGCCCUGAUUAAAAAAGGAAGAGAUGCCAGAGCUUCCUCUCUCCACCACAUGACAAUACAGCGGGAAGGCCGCUGUCUGCAAGUCAGAAAGAGGGCCCUUACCAAGGACAGAAUCUGCUGGCACCUUGGUUAUAGACUUCCCAGCCUUCAGAACUACAAGAAACAAGUGUCUGCCUCUAAAGCCACCCAGUCUGUGGCAUUUUGCUCUUGAAGCUCAAGCUAAGACACUGACCAAUAGAUCCAGCUGAGAUCCCAACCAAGAGUUCACAUCGACUACCAGACGUGAGGGAGUGCCCUUCAGAUGAGUUCAGCCCCCAGCCUUCAAGCUACCCUGGAUGACACAGUGGGGAAUACAGACUAGCUUUCCCCAUCAAGCCCUGCCCAGAUUGAAAAUUUAAGAGCAAAAGAAUCAUUGGGGAGUUCCCGUCGUGGCGCAGUGGUUAACGAAUCCGACUAGGAACCAUGAGGUUGCGGGUUCGGUCCCUGCCCUUGCUCAGUGGGUUAACAAUCCGGCAUUGCCGUGAGCUGUGGUGUAGGUUGCAGACGUGGCUCGGAUCCCGCGUUGCUGUGGCUCUAGCGUAGGCCGCUCCGAUUCAACCCCUAGCCUGGGAACCUCCAUAUGCCGAGGGAGCGGCCCAAGAAAUAGCAACAAUAAUAACAACAACAACAACAAAAAGACAAAAGACAAAAAAAAAUAAUAAUAAUCAUUGGGUUUUUUUUUUUUUUUUAAGGUGCUACAUUUGGGGCAAUAGACAACCAGAAACAUCUUUAGUCAAAGAUGCCCAGAGGAAUAUCACACUGGCCACCUCUUCAUGGAUCCUACAUGUGAACACCCAUAGCGGCAUCUCCUGCCCUAAUUCCAAGGGGAUCUUAAGCCUUUAUCUCGCCAGUCAUCAUCUUGGGAAGCUGGAUAGGGAGGCAGAAAUAAAUAGCUUUGAGAAGGUGUCGAUAGAUAGCUAGAUAGAUAGAUGUAGAUAUCGAUUUAUGGCCACACUCACAAUAUAUGUGAGUUCCAAGGCCAGGGACUGAAUCCGAGACACAGCUGCAACCUACACCAGAACUGCAGCAAUGCUGGAUCCUUUAACCCACUGUGCCGGGCCAAGGAUCAAACCUGCACCUCCACGGCAACCUGAGCCGCUGCAGCCAGAUUCUUAAACCACAGUGCCACAGCAGGAAGUCCUGAGUUGUCUCAAUAUUUACCCCCACAGAGAAACUGUUUUACAUAAAACAGUUUUGUUGCCGUUUUUAAUUGUCUUUUUUAUGAAGACUUUCCAUACCAGCCACAUUUGUUCAGAGUUGAACGACUGCUUUGAGAAGAAUUUCAAACUUGGUGAAGGCUUCCCCUUUAUAGCCCUUGUUCAAAUUCCCCAACUGUUAACCCUCUACACUUGCUUUAUCAUUCCCCCCCUCCGUCUCUGGAAAGAGAUCUUUUAAAAAUCAAAUGGGAUUGAUUGAUCCCAUGAAACCUGGCUCAGGUAAGAUGGAGUAAACACACGGCACUUUGUUUCUCCCACUGAAUGCAACUAUAAAACCUAAACAAAACACAGCAAAUAGCUAUUGAAGAACUGUGAAAAAUAAGUAAUAGCAGAUAGACUGAGAAGCAGGACCAGAAUUUGGAGUACUGCCAAGCCAGCCGUGAACAAAUUUUUUUUCGUCUUUUUAGGGCUGUACCCAUGUAUAUGGAAGUUCCCAGGCUAGGGGACAAACUGGAGCUGCAGCUGCCUGUCUACACCACAGCCACAGCAACACAGGAUCCAAGCCACAUCUGUGACCUACACCACAGCUCAUGGCAACACUGGAUCCUUAAUCCACUGAGUGAGGCCAGGGAUCAAACCUGCGUCCUCAUGGAUACUAGUCCAGUUUGUUACUGCUGAGCCACAAGACAGGAACUCUGAAAAUCAUUUUUUUCCUCCAGUACUUCCCAGCCUGGACUCAGUGCAGCUUAAAGACUGGAAGUAUAUAUCAGGGCAGACAGAGAAAGGUCUAGAAGAAGCCCUCUAGUUCUGUUUGAGGAGCAGGAAAAGGUCUCCUAAUGCUCCUAAUUAGGGGCAAUCUCCCAGCUUUUCCUUUCUUUUUUUCUGUUCAUUUGCACCUCCAAGAAAUGCUAGGAUUUCUUGGUAGCAAAAGCCUGUACCUGCAGGAGCCCCAAACUCUGAAAGAUGGGCACCUUCUCCAGUCAGAGGAGCGAUGAGGGUAGGGCAAACUCCCAUUGCCUUUUCUUUCUCUCUGUUAAUUCACUGCUUAGUCCAGAAUACAGGCGCUGUCAUGGGAAAUGAUUGCCAGAACAGGGUAAACAAGGUCCCAGAUUUCUGGUUAGAGGACCAAAAAGGGAAGCCCCAGUGAACCAAAAAUUUAUUGAGGCAAUUACCGAGAGGGAAGAGCUCAGAAAGCAACCUAAUAGAGUUGUUACGAACUUCUGGGCUCCUCCCGCUGGAUGCAUGAAUGAGUUAAGCACUAAACAGUUCACACAGACUUCGAGAAUUUAUUACAGGAUAGACCACUGCCCAGGUUCCAGACAGACCACUGACUGGUGCACCACCCAGGACAGAUCCAAAGGAUAUGGGAAAGUCUUUGAAAAUAGACAUAACAUUAAAGCCACAGAAGGUUCAUUGAAACUCACAGCCUAAGCCCAAUCUGGUCAGCUGUCUGCUAAAACAAAAGUGUCAACAUUCUUCAUAGGAUCUUAAAAAGACUCUUCAGUAUUAUAACAUGGUAUUCAAAAUGUCCAGGAUCUAUUCCAAAUUACUUGACAUAUGAAGA
rnacentral:lncRNA from 1 species